rnacentral:rRNA from 1 species
CCUACGGGCGGCAGCAGUAGGGAAUCUUUCACAAUGGGCGAAAGCCUGAUGGAGCAACGCCGCGUGCAGGAUGAAGGCCUUCGGGUUGUAAACUGCUUUUAUAAGCGAGAAAUAUGAUGGUAACUUAUGAAUAAGGAUCGGCUAACUACGUGCCAGCAGCCGCGGUCAUACGUAGGAUCCGAGCAUUAUCCGGAGUGACUGGGUGUAAAGAGUUGCGUAGGUGGCAUAAUAAGUAGCUAGUGAAAUCUGGUGGCUCAACCAUUCAGACUAUUAGCUAAACUGUUAAGCUCGAGACCGUUAGGGGUAACUGGAAUUGCUAGUGUAGGAGUGAAAUCCGUAGAGAUUAGAAGGAACACCAAUAGCGUAGGCAGGUUGCUGGGACGGUUCUGACACUAAGGCACGAAAGCGUAGGGAGCAAACGGGAUUAGAUACCCGAGUAGUC